ACUUACGGCUAUACCACCGUAGGCACGCCCGAUCUCGUCUGAUCUCGGAAGCUAAGCAGGGUCGGGGCUGGUUAGUACUUGGAUGGGUGACCGCCUGGGAAUACCAGGUGCUGUAAGCA
rnacentral:rRNA from 10 species